rnacentral:rRNA from 1 species
GACGAACGCUGGCGGCGUGCUUAACACAUGCAAGUCGAACGGAAAGGCCCUGCUUUUGUGGGGUUCUCGAGUGGCGAACGGGUGCGUAACACGUGAGUAACCUGCCCUUGUCUUUGGGAUAACUUCAGGAAACUGGGGCUAAUAUCGGAUAGCAGCUCCUGCUGCAUUGUGGGGGUUGGAACGUUUCGGCGGGUGGGGUUGGACUGGCGGCUUAUCAGCUUGCUGGUGGGGGAGUGGCUUACCCAGCCUUUGACCGGUACCCGGCAUGAGAGGGUGACCGGCCACAUUGGGACUGAGAGAGGGCCCAGACUCCUACGGGAGGCAGCAGUGGGGAAUAUGGUACAAUGGGCGGAAGCCUGAUGCAGCAACGUCGCGUGCGGGAUGACGGCCUUCGGGUUGUAAACCGCUUUCGCCUGUGACGAAGCGUGAGUGACGGUAAUGGGUAAAGAAGCACCGGCUAACUACGUG